GGGGGAGCAGCGCCAGCCGAGCCAAGCGCGCCCUCCCCCUCCCCAUCCUGGGCCCCAGGCGCCGGCGCGGGAGAAGCCCAGGGUACUGGGACUCAGUCUAUCAGCAAGUUCAUGGCUUCCUCGACCCACCCACCCCCAAAAGUAUCCCCAGUGCACCCACUCUUCACAGCACCUCUGCCAGCAACGAAGUCCAAGUGUGCGGACUCUCCGACCUCACCUGUGCCUUCCUGCGCCUACCUCUCUGACUCCAGGACACUCUCCUGAAGUAAACACAAUGGCCUCUUCUUAUAGUCCCAAGCUAUGCAUGUCCCCGUCCCUGUCAGCUUCUCCACACCUGUCUUGUCCCCUCACCCCACAUGCCCUGGGCCUUAACUGGUCCCAUGAUCUCCUCACCGUUCAUGAAAACCUCCAGACUAUAUCCUAGAAGUUCUCCCGGUUCACCGCUUCUAGCCAGCUUCCAUAUUACCCUCCCGGCUACACCUCGGAAGUCACCCCUCCCCCACUACUUCAUGCCGCGCCUCAGUGGAACUUUCUUGGUAGCACUCAGGACUCUGAAAAUGUGCUUUCUUUUUCCUGUGUACGCACAUCCCCUGUCUCCCUGCAUACUGACUGGGAGCUAUGAAUUCCAUGAAGACAGGACCUUGACUGUCUAUUCACAGCCGGUCCCAUGGCACCCGGCAGGACAACAGGCACAGGAUAAAAUAGAAGAGUCUGGGGUCAUAAGAAACCUCCAUCCGGGCUGGCGAGAUGGCUUAGUGAUUAAGAGCACUGACUGCUCUUCCAAAG